rnacentral:rRNA from 1 species
AGCGAACGCUGGCGGCAGGCCUAACACAUGCAAGUCGAACGAAGUCUUCGGACUUAGUGGCGGACGGGUGAGUAACACGUGGGAACGUGCCUUUAGGUUCGGAAUAACUCAGGGAAACUUGUGCUAAUACCGAAUGUGCCCUUCGGGGGAAAGAUUUAUCGCCUUUAGAGCGGCCCGCGUCUGAUUAGCUAGUUGGUGAGGUAAAGGCUCACCAAGGCUACGAUCAGUAGCUGGUCUGAGAGGAUGACCAGCCACAUUGGGACCGAGACACGGCCCAAACACCUACGGGAGGCAGCAGUGGGGAAACUUGCGCAAUGGGCGAAAGCCUGACGCAGCCAUGCCACGUGGAUGAUGAAGGUCUUAGGAUUGUAAAAUCCUUUCACCGGUGAAGAUAAUGACUGUAGCCGGAGAAGAAGCCCCGGCUAACUUCGUGCCAGCCGCCGCAGUAACAC